GUGAGGAAUAUUGCGCAAUGGAGGCAACUCUGACGCAGCCAUGCCGCGUGCAGGAAGAAGGCGCUACGCGUUGUAAACUGCUUUUAACCGGGAAGAAACCCCAGGACGUGUCCUGGGUUGACGGUACCGGAGGAAUAAGCACCGGCUAACUUCGUGCCAGCAGCCGCGGUAAUACGAAGGGUGCAAGCGUUAUCCGGAUUCAUUGGGUUUAAAGGGUGCGUAGGCGGAGCGUUAAGUCAGUGGUGAAAUCCUGCAGCUUAACUGUAGACUUGCCAUUGAUACUGGCGCUCUUGAGUGCGCUUGAAGUGGGCGGAAUGUGCCGUGUAGCGGUGAAAUGCUUAGAUAUGGCACAGAACACCAAUUGCGAAGGCAGCACACUAAGGCGAUACUGACGCUGAGGCACGAAAGCGUGGGGAUCGAACAGGAUUAGAUACCCCAGUAGUCC
rnacentral:rRNA from 1 species